rnacentral:rRNA from 1 species
GACAGAGGGUGCAAACGUUGUUCGGAAUUCCUGGGCGUAAAGCGUGCGUAGGCGGCCAUUCAAGUCGGAUGUGAAAGCCCCGGGCUCAACCCGGGAAGUGCACCCGAAACUGGAUGGCUUGAGUAUCGGAGAGGUUGGUGGAAUUCUCGGUGUAGAGGUGAAAUUCGUAGAUAUCGAGAGGAACACCGGUGGCGAAGGCGGCCAACUGGACGAAUACUGACGCUGAGACACGAAAGCGUGGGGAGCAAACAGG